rnacentral:misc_RNA from 1 species
GAACUGCGAAAAGUAAUGUGACCUGCACACUUUGUGAACCAUCAAAUCUUUGAACGCAACUUGCACCAGACAAGAAAUUGUGUGGUAUACUUGUUUGAGUAGCACUCGUAAAUAAAAAUUGCAGAAGCAGAGAUGCGGAUGUUAAGAGCGGAUCUGAAUCAACUAGGAUAACUUCUUUAGUUGGUUAAGAUUAAAAGAAGUGCAGGUAAUGCAGUGAUGCAAGACUUGCAUUUCACAGUGCUAUUAAGAUUGCCAUAUGCCUAACGGCAGAAGAAAUCUUAAGAGCACAGAAUUUGCUCUCAAAUCAAGUAAGAUGACCCGCUGGAUUUAA